GACGAACGCUGGCGGCGUGCUUAACACAUGCAAGUCGAACGGAAAGGCCAUGCUUUUGUGGGGUGCUCGAGUGGCGAACGGGUGAGUAACACGUGAGUAACCUGCCCUUGACUUUGGGAUAACUUCAGGAAACUGGGGCUAAUACCGGAUAGGAGCUCCUGCUGCAUGGUGGGGGUUGGAAAGUUUCGGCGGUUGGGGAUGGACUCGCGGCUUAUCAGCUUGUUGGUGGGGUAGUGGCUUACCAAGGCUUUGACGGGUAGCCGGCCUGAGAGGGUGACCGGCCACAUUGGGACUGAGAUACGGCCCAGACUCCUACGGGAGGCAGCAGUGGGGAAUAUUGCACAAUGGGCGGAAGCCUGAUGCAGCAACGCCGCGUGCGGGAUGACGGCCUUCGGGUUGUAAACCGCUUUCGCCUGUGACGAAGCGUGAGUGACGGUAAUGUGUAAAGAAGCACCGGCUAACUACGUG
rnacentral:rRNA from 1 species